rnacentral:rRNA from 1 species
UACGUAAGGGGCGAGCGUUGUUCGGAAUUACUGGGCGUAAAGGGCCUGCAGGCGGACUGCUAAGUCAGGUGUGAAAGGUUUCAGCUUAACUGAAAGAUUGCGCUUGAAACUGGUGGUCUAGAGUGUCGGAGAGGAUACUGGAAUUCCUGGUGUAGGGGUGAAAUCUAUAGAUAUCAGGAAGAACACCGGUGGCGAAGGCGGGUAUCUGGCCGGACACUGACGCUGAGGGGCGAAAGCAUGGGGAG